rnacentral:ncRNA from 2 species
UAGCGCGUCAUCUGGGGAGUAGCCAGCCGUUCGCGCCGCGCGAACGGGCCAUGCGUCAACAUAUUCGGCCGAGAGGCCGUGGCUCAUGGGAUUCGGAAGGGGCGGAGCGCCCCUUUUCCGCAUC